GUGCUCACUUAACAGUACAUAUACUAAAAUUGGAACGAUGCAGAAAAGACUAGCAUGGCUCCUGCGCAAGGAUGACAUGCAAAUUCAUAAAAUGAGAUUAAUUUAA